rfam:Streptococcus macacae NCTC 11558 final_molecule, whole genome shotgun sequence.
UAUUCCUUUAACACUGUCCCGUGAGGCAGGCAAGGAGCUAGAAGAAAAAAUGUGCAGAAAACAACUGUACCUCUAUUUUGUGAAAUCUCCUUGUUCAGAAAGGAGAUUUUUUUCUU